CCUACGGGUGGGCUGCAGUGAGGAAUAUUGGUCAAUGGGCGCAAGCCUGAACCAGCCAAGUCGCGUGAGGGAUGACGGUCCUAUGGAUUGUAAACCUCUUUUGUCGGGGAGCAAGGCCCGCCACGUGUGGCGGGAAGGAGAGUACCCGAAGAAAAAGCAUCGGCUAACUCCGUGCCAGCAGCCGCGGUAAUACGGAGGAUGCGAGCGUUAUCCGGAUUUAUUGGGUUUAAAGGGUGCGCAGGCGGCGAGUUGAGUCAGCGGUAAAAUUUCGGGGCUCAACCCCGACAAGCCGUUGAAACUGGCUUGCUAGAGUGGGCGAGAGGUAUGCGGAAUGCGUGGUGUAGCGGUGAAAUGCAUAGAUAUCACGCAGAACUCCGAUUGCGAAGGCAGCAUACCGGCGCCCAACUGACGCUCAGGCACGAAAGCGUGGGUAUCGAACAGGAUUAGAUACCCGAGUAGUC
rnacentral:rRNA from 1 species